rnacentral:rRNA from 1 species
UACGUAGGGUGCGAGCGUUGUCCGGAUUUACUGGGCGUAAAGAGCGCGCAGGCGGUCGUUCAAGUCGCGUGUGAAAGCCCCCGGCUCAACUGGGGAGGGUCACGCGAUACUGAUCGACUCGAAGGCAGGAGAGGGUAGUGGAAUUCCCGGUGUAGUGGUGAAAUGCGUAGAUAUCGGGAGGAACACCAGUGGCGAAGGCGACUACCUGGACGGACAUUGACGCUGAGACGCGAAAGCGUGGGGAGCAAACAGG